ensembl:lncRNA
ACUUGUAACACUUGCAAGGUACAGGAAUUAUUUUUGUAUAUUGUACCUCUGCCAUUUCAUACAUUAUUUAAACGCUGUGUAAUCAACCAGUAUCAUUGAUACAUAGGAACUCCCCAGAGCUAGUGGAGUGGGGAGACAGUAGUUCACAGGGCUGUCUGCGCUGGGUUUCGGUACCAGAUAUCCUCAACAGAAAUCAAAUUCAAAGGAAACACAAACUGUCAAAAAGAGAGUUUUCACACAAGGAACUCUUCCAUUCCCAAACCAAACAUUGAAGGACGCAGUUUGUUGUUCUAGCUGAAGGGGAGAUUGGUCAAGUGUGUGACCCUUGGGUUAUUUUUGACCCGUUCAAAGAUUAAGGCCUAAUGAAAUGUGGUACACAUAGUCCAGAAAGAAUGUGCCAAAAACUAUUGGUCAAUGAAGAUAUGAACUGAUAACUAGGAAAGACGCCUGGAGAGGGAAAGGAUUUAGUCUGUUUAAUGAAAACAAAAUAUCGGUUUUGAGCAGUCAAUAACGAUUUGAUAUUAAAUGGACUGGAUUACUACAUUCAUGUAGCUUUUUUCUCUUUUAAAUGACAUACAUGUCAACAGAUGGGGUCUAAUGAACUUUGAUGGAGAAAUCGUUUAAUCUUGACAGCAUAAAGACAAUAGGCAUGGUGUUAACAAGAUGGCUGACAAUAUCUUGUUUUGUGUUAGUUGUGCAAUAGUUUCUUAGGAAGAAAGAUUUUCCUUUGCCAUCACAUACUGACCGCAGUUUUACACAAUGUUGUUCAAAACCUGUUGGCAGUGUUGCUGUCCUAUACCUUUAAUUUAUACGUCAUAAUUUCCCAAAGGUUGUAUAUUACUUAUGGACUUUUCAUACUUAUUUCUUUGUGUCAAGGGUUUGUUUCAAGUUGUUGACGAAUAGUAAGAUGGUAACAUGGAAGGCUUUGAGCAGGAGGGGGUGGGGCAGAUUAUACAGUGUUUUGUGAAUUUUGCAUUGGUUUAAAAAAAAAAAAAGAUGUGAAUGAGCAAGUGCCCAGUUGUUUAGUGUAGUUGUGUAGGAUGUAACCGGUGUGUCUGUAUUAAAUUGUGCGGUCUAUCAAUCCCAUCAGUGUUAUAGCUAUUACCUUCUAUUGGUGUGUACUUUUACCCUGAAAAGAAGCUACUGUUUAUUAUUUGCUUUUUUUCCUUCUGUAGGGUUCUAACACACUCCUUUUCCUCAUUAUUUGUUCAGUUAGAUUUGGAUAAACACUAAGUCUUCAGAUACACACCAUUAUUCACCGUUCCUAAUCAGAAUUUCCUACAGACAUUGGUUAAUUAUUCACUUGUAAUUUAAUGGAUGAGACAACCUCUUUAUAACGCAUUCCACUUUUCUUUUGAAAAGAAAUGUGCUUUGUACUAGUAGAUGUAGCCCUAAAGAAAAAGGAAGAAAAAAAACGUUGAGUAUGAUUUGGUGACUGAAUGUUUAUAGUGAAUGAAUAAGGCAUGCCAUGUAAAUUAUUUUACAAUUAUGUCACGCAUCUUUUGAAUAAAAACUCAUUGUUUCUGAG